rnacentral:rRNA from 1 species
GGGGAAUAUUGGACAAUGGGGGCAACCCUGAUCCAGCCAUGCCGCGUGUGUGAAGAAGGCCUUUUGGUUGUAAAGCACUUUAAGCGAGGAGGAGGCUACUUAGAUUAAUACUCUAGGAUAGUGGACGUUACUCGCAGAAUAAGCACCGGCUAACUCUGUGCCAGCAGCCGCGGUAAUACAGAGGGUGCGAGCGUUAAUCGGAUUUACUGGGCGUAAAGCGUGCGUAGGCGGCUGAUUAAGUCGGAUGUGAAAUCCCUGAGCUUAACUUAGGAAUUGCAUUCGAUACUGGUCAGCUAGAGUAUGGGAGAGGAUGGUAGAAUUCCAGGUGUAGCGGUGAAAUGCGUAGAGAUCUGGAGGAAUACCGAUGGCGAAGGCAGCCAUCUGGCCUAAUACUGACGCUGAGGCACGAAAGCAUGGGGAGCAAAC